GAUUGACCUCGGAUCAGGUAGGGAUACCCGCUGAACUUAAGCAUAUCAAUAAGCGGAGGAAAAGAAACCAACAGGGAUUGCCUCAGUAACGGCGAGUGAAGCGGCAACAGCUCAAAUUUGAAAUCUGGCUCCUUCGGGGCCCGAGUUGUAAUUUGUAGAGGACGUUUCGGGUGCGGCCCGGUCUAAGUCCCUUGGAACAGGGCGUCAUAGAGGGUGAGAAUCCCGUAUGUGACCGGUGACCAACCCCAUGUGAAACCCCUUCGACGAGUCGAGUUGUUUGGGAAUGCAGCUCAAAAUGGGUGGUAAAUUCCAUCUAAAGCUAAAUACUGGCCAGAGACCGAUAGCGCACAAGUAGAGUGAUCGAAAGAUGAAAAGCACUUUGGAAAGAGAGUCAAACAGUACGUGAAAUUGUUGAAAGGGAAGCGCUGGCAACCAGACCUGCCCCGGGCGAUCAGCGGGUGUUCUCACCCGUGCACUCGCCCGCGAUCAGGCCAGCAUCGGUUUCGGCGGUCGGAUACAGACCCGGGGAACGUGGCUCUCUUCGGGGAGUGUUAUAGCCCCGGGUGCAAUGCGGCCAGCCGGGACCGAGGACCGCGCUUCGGCUAGGAUGCUGGCGUAAUGGUUGUCAGCGACCCGUCUUGAAACACGGACCAAGGAGUCUAACAUCUAUGCGAGUGUUUGGGUGUCAAACCCAUACGCGGAAUGAAAGUGAACGCAGGUGGGAGCCCCCCCGGGGUGCACCAUCGACCGAUCCUGAUGUCUUCGGAUGGAUUUGAGUAUGAGCAUACAUGUUGGGACCCGAAAGAUGGUGAACUAUACCUGAAUAGGGUGAAGCCAGAGGAAACUCUGGUGGAGGCUCGCAGCGGUUCUGACGUGCAAAUCGAUCGUCAAAUUUGGGUAUAGGGGCGAAAGACUAAUCGAACCAUCUAGUAGCUGGUUCCUGCC
rnacentral:rRNA from 1 species